GCUUUCUACAGCAAAAACAUGCCCCAGCUUUUGUGUUUUUGAUUUUAGGUCGGUAUAUACAGGAUCGUGCAAAUAAUCCCCCGCGGCCUUCCGCGAGCAAAGUCUGCCGUAAAUACAGCAAAAUACUACGUUUUCACAACACAUGAGGGGGAUACAGGAUUAUGGAAACAGGGAUCUCCUGCGGUCCCACGGCGUUAUCCGGCACAAUUACGGCGAAAUACUACGUUUGCACCUCAUGUAAGGAGCGGAGGAGCGCGCCUGGAGCUCCACGGAGCGCGCAGCCGCCGACUGCCUCCCUGACUUCCUGCUUGAAUAUUCCGCCUCCGUGCGUCGUCUCGUCGCCGUGCCGUGCCCGGGUGAAGAGUUCAUGGUGCGGGCUCGU